rnacentral:misc_RNA from 1 species
GGACUCCGGCGGGACCUGCUCGGAGGAAUGGCGCCGCCGGGUUCAAGCACUGUCUUCCUGUUGGCCCUGACAAUCAUAGCCAGCACCUGGGCUCUGACGCCCACUCACUACCUCACCAAGCAUGACGUGGAGAGACUAAAAGCCUCGCUGGAUCGCCCUUUCACAAAUUUGGAAUCUGCCUUCUACUCCAUCGUGGGACUCAGCAGCCUUGGUGCUCAGGUGCCAGAUGCAAAGAAAGCAUGUACCUACAUCAGAUCUAACCUUGAUCCCAGCAAUGUGGAUUCCCUCUUCUACGCUGCCCAGGCCAGCCAGGCCCUCUCAGGAUGUGAGAACAGUCCAGGCUCUGCAGACAGCAUCCCACCUGUCCCAGCAGGCUGACCUGAGGAGCAUCGUGGAGGAGAUUGAGGACCUUGUUGCUCGCCUGGAUGAACUCGGGGGCGUGUAUCUCCAGUUUGAAGAAGGACUGGAAACAACAGCGUUAUUUGUGGCUGCCACCUACAAGCUCAUGGAUCAUGUGGGGACUGAGCCAUCCAUUAAGGAGGAUCAGGUCAUCCAGCUGAUGAACGCGAUCUUCAGCAAGAAGAACUUUGAGUCCCUCUCCGAAGCCUUCAGCGUGGCCUCUGCAGCUGCUGUGCUCUCGCAUAAUCGCUACCACGUGCCAGUUGUGGUUGUGCCUGAGGGCUCUGCUUCCGACACUCAUGAACAGGCUAUC